AUUGACAACUUUUUUAUUUUACUAGUAGUUAUAAAUUUUCCGUCUUCGGCAUAAAAAGAUGAACAAAGAUUCAAGCAUGACAACAAUAAGAACGCUGAUGCUUUGCGAGACGGGGGAACUUGAGAGCCACCAGAAAACAAGAGCCAGAUGACGCCCUCAUCGCCAUGAUUGUGAAGGAUACGCAGUCCUUCCGUAUUAUGGAUGAUGUUGGAUUUAGGACAUUUGUGUCCAAAUUAGAUCCAAAUUAUGUUCUCCCUACAAGGCUGGCUCUGAAAGUCGUGGUGGAAGCCAAGUCUGAGUCAGCCAUGGAGAAGGCUAAGGCUAAAGUGGAAAAGGUGGUUGGCGUUAGCCUUUCUUCUUACCUGUGGACAAUCCAUAAACGUGGUUGCCUACCUGGCUGUAACAUGCCAUUUUGGGAAAAUUAGUCUUGGUUCGUUGCUGUUGGAGGUACGGGCAUUCCCCCAAUCCCGCACUGCUGAAAAUAUAGCUUGUGUGAAAGCCUAUCUGAUGGAGGAAUGGGGCACCACUAUCAAGACGACAUGUAUUGUCACUAGCGGUUCUCAAAAUAUGGUUGCCUGUUUUGAGGAAGCUGAAGCUUUGGCACCAUAUUGCAUUGCGUUGUUGUUCACACUUAACCUGAUUGUGAAGAAGGUGCUUUAUCAGCACCCUAUGCUCUCUGGCAUCCAGGCCAAAGCAAGGAAGUUGCAGGACCACCGCUAAGGUGAGCUAGUUUAAGUCCAAUUUAUAACUGUAAUACUUUGUUUUCCUACUGCAGUGGUUUAAUGGCCUACUCAUCUGUAUCUCAUCUGACAAACUUGAACAAGUGCAGCUUCAUCUGGGGAUGGAAAAGUGGAGACCAGAUGGAACAGAGUUCCAAAAUUCAUGUUAAGCUCAGGGAGCCACUACGGAGCAGCAUUAACUGAGCCAGGGGCAUCGAACUCGGGAGAAAAAGGGAGGCCCCCAUCCCUCAAACCCCCCAUGACCCCACCAGUCGAGUGGUACCCCACUUUAUACACUCUUGCGUU